UACAGAGGGUGCGAGCGUUAAUCGGAAUUACUGGGCGUAAAGCGCACGUAGUCGGCUUGUCAAGUCGGGUGUGAAAUCCCCGGGCUCAACCUGGGAACUGCAUCCGAAACUGACUUGCUAGAGUAUGGGAGAGGGAGGCGGAAUUUCUGGUGUAGCAGUGAAAUGCGUAGAUAUGCGGAGGAACACCGAUGGCGAAGGCAAUCCCCUGGGCCUGCACUGACGCUCAUGCACGAAAGCGUGGGGAGCAAACAGG
rnacentral:rRNA from 1 species